UUUCUCUCCCAGUCACUGCUUCGUCCUCCGGGUUCGGCGCCGAAAAAAGAUCCAACCCGCCUAGCCGCCGCCUAGCCGCCUAGCGCCCGCCUAGCCACCGCCUAGCAGCCUAGCGCCCGCCUAGCCACCGCCUAGCCGCCUAGCCGCCCGCCUAGGCCUACUUUUCAGUUCUCGCUCUCCAGCAUCCAAACGCAUUCUCUCUCUCCCCUUCUCGUCAAGGUUUUUCUGUGUUGAAAUGAGACUGAACAUAGUGGAACAAAAACAAAUUUCAUGUGAAAAAUGCGGUCCAAGUGUUUGGAAUUGCAGCAAGAUUUCUUUUUGGAAGCUUAAAUGUCGGGAAGCAAAGUGUUGCUAACGUAUAAGCGAAAGCGGGAAUCAAGAACAGAUCAUGUACAUGGUUGUGUUUCUCUUAUGUGUGUCUAACACUUUGCCCCAUAAAACUAGCUACUAAAAGAAAUGGGAAUUUAUGAUAUCAGUCAGAAAGAUUAUAGAGUCUCCAAAUCAGUUUUAACAGAUGCCUUCCUUACCAGCUCUAAAACUGCAUGAGUUCUCAUAGAUGACAUUAAGCACCUCAAUGGUAGUUAAGAUUGUCAUAUAUGAUUUAUUUGUGUUUAUUACUAAUAUAUUUGUAUUAAUUAAGGUGCAUAUCUACUAUAUGUAACAGGGAAAUUAUAAUUUGUGGACCUCAGACAUGCAUGAAUAUUUUGCUGGUCAAGUUACACCA